GUGCUUGCUUCAGCAGCACAUAAACUGAAAGUGGAACGAUACAGAGCAGAUUAACAUGACCCCUGCACAAGGAUGACAUGCAAAUUCGUGACGUGUUCCAUAUUUUU